rnacentral:rRNA from 1 species
AGUUUGAUCCUGGCUCAGGAUGAACGCUAGCUACAGGCUUAACACAUGCAAGUCGAGGGGCAGCAUUGGAGUAGCAAUACUUCAGAUGGCGACCGGCGCACGGGUGAGUAACACGUAUCCAACCUGCCGCUUACUCGGGGAUAGCCUUUCGAAAGAAAGAUUAAUACCCGAUGGUAUAAAGAGUUCGCAUGUUCUCUUUAUUAAAGAAUUUCGGUAAGCGAUGGGGAUGCGUUCCAUUAGAUAGUUGGCGGGGUAACGGCCCACCAAGUCUACGAUGGAUAGGGGUUCUGAGAGGAAGGUCCCCCACAUUGGAACUGAGACACGGUCCAAACUCCUACGGGAGGCAGCAGUGAGGAAUAUUGGUCAAUGGACGCGAGUCUGAACCAGCCAAGUAGCGUGAAGGAUGACUGCCCUAUGGGUUGUAAACUUCUUUUAUAAGGGAAUAAAGUGAGGGACGUGUCCCUUUUUGUAUGUACCUUAUGAAUAAGGAUCGGCUAACUCCGUGCCAGCAGCCGCGGUAAUACGGAGGAUCCGAGCGUUAUCCGGAUUUAUUGGGUUUAAAGGGAGCGUAGGUUGACAUAUAAGUCAGCUGUGAAAGUUUACGGCUCAACCGUGAAAUUGCAGUUGAUACUGUAUGUCUUGAGUGUACAAGAGGUGGGCGGAAUUCGUGGUGUAGCGGUGAAAUGCUUAGAUUUCACGAGAACUCCAUUGCGAAGGCAGCUCACUGGGGUACACUGACC